rnacentral:lncRNA from 1 species
UGGGCCCUUCUCGCUAUAUUGUUCACUUGUGGGUCCUUCUCACUGUUAUUCUCUUGUGGGUCCUGCUUAGUGUUGUUCACUUGUGGGCCCUUCUCACUAUUGUUUUCUUGUGGAUCCUGUUAUUAGUCUCUCGUGGGUACUGCUCGGUAUAUUAGACAGUUCUCUGGAUCCUAGCUGCUAUUUUUUUCUCACCUGAAUUAAAGCACAUAUUUUACUUGAUCCUGACUCUAUAUGCAAGUGUUUAUCUUUUGUCUUGUUGCUC